rnacentral:rRNA from 1 species
GACGAACGCUGGCGGCGUGCUUAACACAUGCAAGUCGAGCGGUAAGGCCCUUUCGGGGGUACACGAGCGGCGAACGGGUGAGUAACACGUGGGUGACCUGCCCUCAGCUCUGGGAUAAGCCUGGGAAACCGGGUCUAAUACCGGAUAUGACUCCAUGACGCAUGUUGUGGGGUGGAAAGCCUUGUGCGGCUGAGGAUGGGCCCGCGGCCUAUCAGCUUGUUGGUGGGGUGANGGCCUACCAAGGCGACGACGGGUAGCCGGCCUGAGAGGGCGACCGGCCACACUGGGACUGAGACACGGCCCAGACUCCUACGGGAGGCAGCAGUGGGGAAUCUUGCGCAAUGGGCGAAAGCCUGACGCAGCAACGCCGCGUGAGGGAUGACGGCCU